ensembl:lncRNA
CUUAUAGAAGGUGAUACUCUUAUAGAAGGCGAUAGUCUUAUAGAAGGUGAUACUCUGAUAGAAGGUGAUAGUUUUAUAGAAGGUGAUACUCUGAUAGAAGGUGAUACUCUUAUAGAAGGUGAUACUCUGAUAGAAGGUGAUAGUUUUAUAGAGGGUGAUACUCUUACAGAAGGUGAUACACUUAUAGAAGGUGAUAGUCUUACAGGAGGUGAUACUCAAGUCUUGUUUUGCCUAGAUAUGAGGGAGACUAAAUGCCUAAAAAUAUUUGAUUGUAAUCAAAUAUCUAAUCACUUGGAAACGUUCACAAACAAAAUUCAU